rnacentral:ribozyme from 11 species
AGAAAGAAAGAAAGAAAGAAAGAGAAAAACUAAGAAAGCAAAGAAAAAAAGGAUCCAUCUCUCUGUUCCUUCCAGC